UUCUCUAACUUAAUGUAUGCAAGCACAUUCGACUCACCAUCUUGUUUUCUUUCGGCAGCGAGCGAUCAAAUGCAAUCGGCGACCCUUUCCCGACUCCAGGAGGAACUCUGAGGUAAUCGUCAGCUGAGGGGGUAUUCAUUCUGCAACAGCUACAACAAUGGCGCAGACGGUUCAUGCAGAUGAUGAGCAAGUGGAACAGAGAAAAAGUGGCUUGUACAAUUGCCUUAGUAAAAUCAAGAAAGAAGAAGACGAAAGAAAAGACCCGAAAGAGAUCGACCAAGACAAAGUAAGGGAAAGGAAUUCGGAGGAUAAACUUGCAGAUGACUUACUCGAAGCCCUCGAGAAAAAUGAUGCAUCUGAAGUUUGGGAUCUCGUUGAAACCAAUCAUCCCAUCAAGACGCUAAAAGUCAUGUAUCGAGUUAGCAAGGACAUCGCCAAGAAAGUGCGGAAUAGAGCAAAGAGCUGCAAUUUCCAUUGCGAACCUCCGGAAAAAUCAUCUUGUAUCGGAGAUACUUAUUCUCCUAGUGGUGUUCACAGCGUAAACGAGACGCAACAGAAAGAGGAAGAACGCAAAGAUGAAGCGAGGAAAAGAAAGUGGAUCAAAAUACUUUCUAACCCUCUAUACAUCGGAGUUGAAUGGCUCUGGAGAACGAACACCGACUGUCAAUGUGAAGAUUGCCAGGAAAAUAAAGAUCAGGAUGCUAUAGGAAAUGCUUUACAAGAUGCAUAUCUACUGGAUAAGAUUGCCUCUUGCGAGCAUUACUAUAGCCUGGAGGAUUACAAGAGUUCCGUCGAAGCUUACGAGUCGUUCGCUGCUGAUGUCCUGGAGGAAAGCACCGUGACUGAGCUGUACGAGAUCAUGGACAUCGAGGGAGACGGCUUCUUACUGCGAGGGAACCCCCAGCGUCUUAGGAAGUUAGAUAAAAGUCUGAGCCUUCUCAAGAUUGCUGUUGAUUAUGGAAGAAAGAAGUUUGUGGCGAGUGCAAGAUGCCAAUCUGUUCUUGACCAAAUCAUUUUCUACAAGUGCCCAGCAUGGAAAGACAAGGGCAUCAUGAGAAAGUUUGCAUGGGUCAUCGUUCAGUUAAUUCUCACAACAAUUCUCAGUCCGUUCUAUAUUUCUUUACGGAUAUUUGAAAAAGUGUUCCGAAAGAAGUCUUGCAACAUUUGUACCAAUGGAAUUGCGAAAACUUGCAUCGAAAGGAUCAAGAACCUGUACGAACAUCCCUACUCGAAGUUUGUGAACCACAUGAUUUCAUACAUUUUGUUCCUUUCUCUCUUGUUGUUGUCGACGUUUGGUUUUGAGAAUGAGUACAAAUCAACUUCAGUAGGACUCACGAGGAUUGACUAUGCGGUAAUUAUAUUUACCAUUGGCCUCGUCUUGCAAGAAUUUCUGGAAGCUAAGAAACAAGGAAUCCAUUUUUAUUUCUCAAAUUGGUGGAAGAAGAUGCAUAUACUUACUCUGGUUACUUUCGCGGUGUCCUACAUUGUAUGGCUCGCAGCAUGGGUCCACUUUGGAGAAUGGAAACCAAGAGGAAUCCCAUUUAUCGUGGCUGAUGUCUUUUAUGCGACCGGAACUGUGAUGGCAUUUUUCCACUUCACUUAUAUAUUCCAAGUGAGUUCAACUCUUGGUCCCUUGCAGCUAUCCUUGUACCGAAUGCUAAAGGAUAUAUGUAGAUUUCUUAUCAUCUAUUUCACGCUUUUCCUGGCAUUUGGAGCUGGAUUAGUCAAGCUAUUCUCGUAUUAUGUUUCCUCGCGGUACAAAAGAGAAGAAGCUGCUGACCCAAGUUCUCAUUAUGUUGCCAGACAUGACUUAGCAGCUACUUUCUUAGUUUCGAUAUUUCUUGGGAAUGUGGAUCAUGACAAACUCAAACUAGAAGAUCCUGCGUUUAUCCUUAUCACUGAAGUUGGUCGCAUUUUUUUGUUCGCGUAUGGAAUCUGCACCACCCUUGUUGCAAUAAAUAUGCUGAUUGCUAUGAUGACCAACUCCUUUGAGAGAAUUAUGGAAGAUGCAGACCAGGAGUGGAAGUUUUCAAGAUCCCUGAUGUGGAUGGAUUAUAUCAACGAAGGAAACCUCGUACCAGUACCUUUCAAUAUCGCAUACUAUUCUCUAUAUCUCUUUUUCAUCCCAUACUACAUUUUCCGUGUAUGCUGCGGGAAGGAAAAAGGGUCUCUCCCUGGGACGGUAAGUGUCUGCUCUAUCCUCGUAUCCUCGUAGGAAACCUCGUACCAGUACCUUUCAAUAUCGCAUACUAUUCUCUAUAUCUCUUUUUCAUCCCAUACUACAUUUUCCGAGUAUGCUGCGGGAAGGAAAAAGGGUCUCUCCCUGGGACGGUAAGUGUCUGCUCUAUCCUCGUAUCCUCGUAGGAAACCUCGUACCAGUACCUUUCAAUAUCGCAUACUAUUCUCUAUAUCUCUUUUUCAUCCCAUACUACAUUUUCCGUGUAUGCUGCGGGAAGGAAAAAGGGUCUCUCCCUGGGACGGUAAGUGUCUGCUCUAUCCUCGUAUCCUCGUAGGAAACCUCGUACCAGUACCUUUCAAUAUCGCAUACUAUUCUCUAUAUCUCUUUUUCAUCCCAUACUACAUUUUCCGAGUAUGCUGCGGGAAGGAAAAAGGGUCUCUCCCUGGGACGCAGCCACCAAACGGAACUGACGUGGAAUUGGAACAAAUGAACUUCGAGCAUGGCACAAGCGACAAGAGCUCAGCCCACAGUUG
rnacentral:misc_RNA from 1 species